UACGUAGGGUGCGAGCGUUAAUCGGAAUUACUGGGCGUAAAGGGUGCGCAGGCGGUUCUGCAAGUCAGGCGUGAAAGCCCCGGGCUUAACCUGGGAAUGGCGCUUGAAACUACAGGACUGGAGUAUGGCAGAGGGAGGUGGAAUUCCACGUGUAGCGGUGAAAUGCGUAGAGAUGUGGAGGAACGCCGAUGGCGGAGGCAGCCUCCUGGGCCAAUACUGACGCUCAUGCACGAAAGCGUGGGGAGCAAACAGG
rnacentral:rRNA from 1 species